AGGGAAACCGAGUCUUAACUGGGCGUUAAGUUGCAGGGUAUAGACCCGAAACCCGGUGAUCUAGCCAUGGGCAGGUUGAAGGUUGGGUAACACUAACUGGAGGACCGAACCGACUAAUGUUGAAAAAUUAGCGGAUGACCUGUGGCUGGGGGUGAAAGGCCAAUCAAACCGGGAGAUAGCUGGUUCUCCCCGAAAGCUAUUUAGGUAGCGCCUCGUGAAUUCAUCUUCGGGGGUAGAGCACUGUUUCGGCUAGGGGGUCAUCCCGACUUACCAACCCGAUGCAAACUGCGAAUACCGGAGAAUGUUAUCACGGGAGACACACGGCGGGUGCUAACGUCCGUCGUGAAGAGGGAAACAACCCAGACCGCCAGCUAAGGUCCCAAAGUCAUGGUUAAGUGGGAAACGAUGUGGGAAGGCCCAGACAGCCAGGAUGUUGGCUUAGAAGCAGCCAUCAUUUAAAGAAAGCGUAAUAGCUCACUGGUCGAGUCGGCCUGCGCGGAAGAUGUAACGGGGCUAAACCAUGCACCGAAGCUGCGGCAGCGAACGUAUCACUUAAAGCGAUUCAGCGGGUUACGAUUGACGGAGCGAAGCGACGUCAAAGCGUAUAGAAAGUCGAGUCGGUUUAAGGAUACGUUCGUUGGGUAGGGGAGCGUUCUGUAAGCCUGUGAAGGUGUGUCGUGAGGCAUGCUGGAGGUAUCAGAAGUGCGAAUGCUGACAUAAGUAACGAUAAUGCGGGUGAAAAACCCGCUCGCCGGAAGACCAAGGGUUCCUGUCCAACGUUAAUCGGGGCAGGGUGAGUCGACCCCUAAGGCGAGGCCGAAAGGCGUAGUCGAUGGGAAACAGGUUAAUAUUCCUGUACUCGGUGUUACUGCGAAGGGGGGACGGAGAAGGCUAUGUUGGCCGGGCGACGGUUGUCCCGGUUUAAGCGUGUAGGUGUGUGGACCAGGCAAAUCCGGUUCACUUUAACACUGAGGCGUGAUGACGAGGCACUACGGUGCUGAAGCAACAAAUGCCCUGCUUCCAGGAAAAGCCUCUAAGCAUCAGGUAACAUCAAAUCGUACCCCAAACCGACACAGGUGGUCAGGUAGAGAAUACCAAGGCGCUUGAGAGAACUCGGGUGAAGGAACUAGGCAAAAUGGUGCCGUAACUUCGGGAGAAGGCACGCUGAUGGUAGGUGAAGUGAUUUACUCAUGGAGCUGAAAUCAGUCGAAGAUACCAGCUGGCUGCAACUGUUUAUUAAAAACACAGCACUGUGCAAACACGAAAGUGGACGUAUACGGUGUGACGCCUGCCCGGUGCCGGAAGGUUAAUUGAUGGGGUCAGCGCAAGCGAAGCUCCUGAUCGAAGCCCCGGUAAACGGCGGCCGUAACUAUAACGGUCCUAAGGUAGCGAAAUUCCUUGUCGGGUAAGUUCCGACCUGCACGAAUGGCGUAAUGAUGGCCAGGCUGUCUCCACCCGAGACUCAGUGAAAUUGAACUCGCUGUGAAGAUGCAGUGUACCCGCGGCAAGACGGAAAGACCCCGUGAACCUUUACUAUAGCUUGACACUGAACAUUGAGCCUUGAUGUGUAGGAUAGGUGGGAGGCUUUGAAGUGUGGACGCCAGUCUGCAUGGAGCCG
rnacentral:rRNA from 1 species